UUAAGCGACUAAGCGUACACGGUGGAUGCCUUGGCAGUCAGAGGCGAUGAAGGGCGUGCUAAUCUGCGAUAAGCGCCGGUAAGGUGAUAUGAACCGUUAUAACCGGCGAUACCCGAAUGGGGAAACCCAGUGUGACUCGUCACACUAUCAUUAACUGAAUCCAUAGGUUAAUGAGGCGAACCGGGGGAACUGAAACAUCUAAGUACCCCGAGGAAAAGAAAUCAACCGAGAUUCCCCCAGUAGCGGCGAGCGAACGGGGAGGAGCCCAGAGCCUGAAUCAGCAUGUGUGUUAGUGGAAGCGUCUGGAAAGGCGCGCGAUACAGGGUGACAGCCCCGUACACAAAAGCGCAUGUGCUGUGAGCUCGAUGAGUAGGGCGGGACACGUGGUAUCCUGUCUGAAUAUGGGGGGACCAUCCUCCAAGGCUAAAUACUCCUGACUGACCGAUAGUGAACCAGUACCGUGAGGGAAAGGCGAAAAGAACCCCGGCGAGGGGAGUGAAAAAGAACCUGAAACCGUGUACGUACAAGCAGUGGGAGCCCCACCACUAAGCCAGUGGUGAACUCCACAUCCGCAUCCUUUGCUGAGGAUACGGUUAACGGAGCGAAAGCGACGUUCAACCGCAAAACAAGCAGAGGGGGCUUAGUGGUGGGGUGACUGCGUACCUUUUGUAUAAUGGGUCAGCGACUUAUAUUCUGUAGCAAGGUUAACCGAAUAGGGGAGCCGGAGGGAAACCGAGUCUUAAUUGGGCGUUAAGUUGCAGGGUAUAGACCCGAAACCCGGUGAUCUAGCCAUGGGCAGGUUGAAGGUUGGGUAACACUAACUGGAGGACCGAACCGACUAAUGUUGAAAAAUUAGCGGAUGACCUGUGGCUGGGGGUGAAAGGCCAAUCAAACCGGGAGAUAGCUGGUUCUCCCCGAAAGCUAUUUAGGUAGCGCCUCGUGAAUUCAUCUCCGGGGGUAGAGCACUGUUUCGGCUAGGGGGCCAUCCCGGCUUACCAACCCGAUGCAAACUGCGAAUACCGGAGAAUGUUAUCACGGGAGACACACGGCGGGUGCUAACGUCCGUCGUGAAGAGGGAAACAACCCAGACCGCCAGCUAAGGUCCCAAAGUCAUGGUUAAGUGGGAAACGAUGUGGGAAGGCCCAGACAGCCAGGAUGUUGGCUUAGAAGCAGCCAUCAUUUAAAGAAAGCGUAAUAGCUCACUGGUCGAGUCGGCCUGCGCGGAAGAUGUAACGGGGCUAAACCAUGCACCGAAGCUGCGGCAGCGACGCUGAUGCGUUGUUGGGUAGGGGAGCGUUCUGUAAGCCUGCGAAGGUGACCUGUGAGGGUUGCUGGAGGUAUCAGAAGUGCGAAUGCUGACAUAAGUAACGAUAAAGCGGGUGAAAAGCCCGCUCGCCGGAAGACCAAGGGUUCCUGUCCAACGUUAAUCGGGGCAGGGUGAGUCGACCCCUAAGGCGAGGCCGAAAGGCGUAGUUGAUGGGAAACGGGUUAAUAUUCCCGUACUUGGUGUUACUGCGAAGGGGGGACGGAGAAGGCUAUGUUGGCCGGGCGACGGUUGUCCCGGUUUAAGCGUGUAGGUGUGUGUUCCAGGUAAAUCCGGUUCACUUUAACACUGAGGCGUGAUGACGAGGCACUACGGUGCUGAAGCAACAAAUGCCCUGCUUCCAGGAAAAGCCUCUAAGCAUCAGGUAACAUCAAAUCGUACCCCAAACCGACACAGGUGGUCAGGUAGAGAAUACCAAGGCGCUUGAGAGAACUCGGGUGAAGGAACUAGGCAAAAUGGUGCCGUAACUUCGGGAGAAGGCACGCUGACACGUAGGUGAAGUGAUUUACUCAUGGAGCUGAAGUCAGUCGAAGAUACCAGCUGGCUGCAACUGUUUAUUAAAAACACAGCACUGUGCAAACACGAAAGUGGACGUAUACGGUGUGACGCCUGCCCGGUGCCGGAAGGUUAAUUGAUGGGGUCAGCGCAAGCGAAGCUCCUGAUCGAAGCCCCGGUAAACGGCGGCCGUAACUAUAACGGUCCUAAGGUAGCGAAAUUCCUUGUCGGGUAAGUUCCGACCUGCACGAAUGGCGUAAUGAUGGCCAGGCUGUCUCCACCCGAGACUCAGUGAAAUUGAACUCGCUGUGAAGAUGCAGUGUACCCGCGGCAAGACGGAAAGACCCCGUGAACCUUUACUAUAGCUUGACACUGAACAUUGAGCCUUGAUGUGUAGGAUAGGUGGGAGGCUUUGAAGUGUGGACGCCAGUCUGCAUGGAGCCGACCUUGAAAUACCACCCUUUAAUGUUUGAUGUUCUAACGUGGACCCGUAAUCCGGGUUGCGGACAGUGUCUGGUGGGUAGUUUGACUGGGGCGGUCUCCUCCUAAAGAGUAACGGAGGAGCACGAAGGUUGGCUAAUCCUGGUCGGACAUCAGGAGGUUAGUGCAAUGGCAUAAGCCAGCUUGACUGCGAGCGUGACGGCGCGAGCAGGUGCGAAAGCAGGUCAUAGUGAUCCGGUGGUUCUGAAUGGAAGGGCCAUCGCUCAACGGAUAAAAGGUACUCCGGGGAUAACAGGCUGAUACCGCCCAAGAGUUCAUAUCGACGGCGGUGUUUGGCACCUCGAUGUCGGCUCAUCACAUCCUGGGGCUGAAGUAGGUCCCAAGGGUAUGGCUGUUCGCCAUUUAAAGUGGUACGCGAGCUGGGUUUAGAACGUCGUGAGACAGUUCGGUCCCUAUCUGCCGUGGGCGCUGGAGAACUGAGGGGGGCUGCUCCUAGUACGAGAGGACCGGAGUGGACGCAUCACUGGUGUUCGGGUUGUCAUGCCAAUGGCACUGCCCGGUAGCUAAAUGCGGAAGAGAUAAGUGCUGAAAGCAUCUAAGCACGAAACUUGCCCCGAGAUGAGUUCUCCCUGAGACUUUAGGUCUCCUGAAGGAACGUUGAAGACGACGACGUUGAUAGGCCGGGUGUGUAAGCGCAGCGAUGCGUUGAGCUAACCGGUACUAAUGAACCGUGAGGCUUAACCUU
rnacentral:rRNA from 1 species